AGUCGGAACCAGCCUCCCCCAAGAAUCGUGCAUAUAUACACAUCCACACGCCAGCCCAAUGCCACCCACGUGGGACCAUUGAUUUCACUACCUCCAGGCUUUCUCAGGUUGCCCUGAAUUGGAACGCCAUGAACAGUGUAUUCAACUGAGAGUCUGCGUGCUAUCAAGGGAAAAGAGGCCAAUAAUGGGAAGAAAGAAACCCCCAGCCCCCCCAACUUAUGAAGAUGGAAACUGGUGAUCUAGGAUUCCCAGAAAGGGUAGAGAAAAACUCACUUAGCCUCCUAGAUUCACAGAACUAGGUAAGUACCUCCCCCAGCCCCGCUCCUUGGACCGUAAUGGAUGGGGAAGAGCGAGGAAGAAGGAAGUGGGUCUUGGUUUUACUGCUUGCUGCCUUAUCAAGAGCAGCCCUUAGGCCUGGGGCAACUACAGCUGAUGGUGGUCACACCAUGAAGAUUGUUGCUCUCUAGUCCAUUCUUGAUAAUUUAGGGUGAAUAAUACAAAACGUUUUAACUCAGGCUACGGUUGUGAGCCUACUUCUCACCUCUAUCAAGUGAAGCCAAGCGAGGUAUGAAGAGUGCCUAACAGUUUACCAACUGUCAUAUAUAUCAUACCUCAUCUAAUACAACUCUCCGAAAAGAAAGCAUUGUAAAUAUCCCCACUUGAGAAAUGAUGAAAGGAAAAUUCAGAGAAGUCACAAAAUUUUCCCAGAGUUUACCAGGUAAUCGGAAGAGGCUGGUUUCUAAUCUAGAUCUCCUGACUCCAAGUGCCCUAAACCAUGGGCACUGACUGAAGAUUUCAUCUCCCUCCCUCUUCCAUCCUUUGCUUACAUUUAAAGUGCCUAUGAGCAAUAGAAAGGUUUUUUGAGGGUUGGGUUUUCAGAGAAUUUAUAGAUUUCAAUUCUUCCUGUUCUUUCUGCUCCCAAAUUAUCAUAGAUUACAUAAAGUUGGCUUCAUAUUAUCUCUUGGGUCUUUAGAUGAAAAAAUAAAUUUUAGAAAUAUAAUAAAAAAAAAAUGGGCUUAAUGUACACUUGGGUGGGGGCAGGGGAGGAUGGGGCCAAUGGUUUUUAUGUCUCUCUGCUCUAGAAUCAAAUCCAGAUUUGGCUCUAGGGCCAAAUCUCCAGUAGAAAAGUCAAUCCUGUCUUCCAAUCAAACAAAUGAAGUCAUCUGUGCUAAUAUUUAUACAAGGGAUACAAAGAGACUACACAGUAUCACUUUGUAGAUGCUGGGAAAAGACACCACCUGUUCAUUCAAAGCCGAAGACUUCAGUUCCACCUAGAUGUUGGGGAAAUUAACAUAAACUUUUUUGAAAGAAGGGUUAGUCAUUCAAAAUAGUAACAUGCUUUCUCCUCCCUCCAAAAAACAAUCUUCAGAUAAUUAGGAUUUGAGAAGAAAGGGGUCGGUUCUCUACAUCAUGUGGCACUGUGAAGAUAUGAUAAUUAACAUCCACUGUUAAGAGUUACAAAGCAAUCCCUUUCCUAUGUUAUUCAGAAGACUUGGCUCCUUAUUCCCGAAUUAAAAUGAGGACGAAAAGACCUAACUUCCACCUUGUCUCAACAUCAGUGGGCUGCUUUCCCCACAGCCAACCACCUUUCCUAAACUCCCGACUUUUCAACCGCUAAGACCAUGGAAACAUUAAGAAUGACCCUCCUUCAUCAAACCUCAACUUCCCCUCCCACUUGCACUUCUGACCAAUGUACUCACUUCAAAGCAAGCAACAGCAUCCUGUUCAGUUACUCAGUAGGGCCUCUGUAUCUUCACCUAACACCUUCAACCCAAAGAAAACCAAAAGCCACAAAAGACCUCCAUCAUCUCCACACAGCUCCUAGUCCGGCGAUGGCACUUAUGUAACCUCUGGUUUUUGCUCUUAUUGUUUAUUUUGUCAGUUGCCAUGGGAAAGACUGGACAACUCCAUCUGCAAGGGGUAAUUACUGGCCUUCCAAACACACACACACUCACGCAGCAGAGAAGAAGUAUGUGCAGUUAAAGACUUCUUCAAGGAGACCAAGCAAAGGUUAACCAAUGUAUUACUUUGCUGCUGGCAUGCACACAGAAAGGCAGCUGUUCGUUACCAACUAUACUCCAUAUUUUCAGCUCAAGUAUUCAUAAUCGAAAUUAGUAUCUCCUCACAAGUUAAUAUUUCUCAGGCACUACAGACUAAGUGGAUCAUCUUUGCACAAAGAAGAACCAUAAAUAGAAAUUCACAAGUCUGACUUUACCGAAUGUCAAUGAGGUUAAGAGAGGCUGAGCAACUCUCAUAGGACUGAUUAAUAGUGGAGUCAAGAGUCCAGCCCAGAGCCCACAGUCUUGCUGCACUGACCAUUGCUCACGGUGCCUGACCACAGCCUGGGUCACAAGCACCGCUGGCUUCUGGUCUGAUCUCCUGACAGGCUGAAGGGACUCCAACUCUCACCCAACCCAUCCAGUCAAAGUGAGAAAAAUACAAAGCUCCUUUGGUACCAAAG
rnacentral:lncRNA from 1 species